GAUGAACGCUAGCGGGAGGCUUAACACAUGCAAGUCGAGGGGCAGCAUAGAGUAGCAAUAUUCUGAUGGCGACCGGCGCACGGGUGAGUAACACGUAUGCAACCUACCCUGUACAGGGGGAUAACCCGGAGAAAUUCGGACUAAUAUCCCAUAAAGAUAUGAAGAGGCAUCUUUUUAUAUUUAAAGCUUCGGCGGUACGGGAUGGGCAUGCGGAACAUUAGCUAGUUGGGAGGGUAACGGCCUACCAAGGCUACGAUGUUUAGGGGACCUGAGAGGGUGACCCCCCACACUGGUACUGAGACACGGACCAGACUCCUACGGGAGGCAG
rnacentral:rRNA from 1 species